rnacentral:rRNA from 1 species
GAUGAACGCUGGCGGCGUGCCUAAUACAUGCAAGUAGAACGCUGAAGCUUGGUGCUUGCACCGAGCGGAUGAGUUGCGAACGGGUGAGUAACGCGUAGGUAACCUGCCUCUUAGCGGGGGAUAACUAUUGGAAACGAUAGCUAAUACCGCAUAAAAGACGAUAUCGCAUGAUAUUGAUUUGAAAGGUGCAAUUGCAUCACUAAGAGAUGGACCUGCGUUGUAUUAGCUAGUUGGUGAGGUAACGGCUCACCAAGGCGACGAUACAUAGCCGACCUGAGAGGGUGAUCGGCCACACUGGGACUGAGACACGGCCCAGACUCCUACGGGAGGCAGCAGUAGGGAAUCUUCGGCAAUGGGGGCAACCCUGACCGAGCAGCGCCGCGUGAGUGAAGAAGGUUUUCGGAUCGUAAAGCUCUGUUGUAAGAGAAGAACGAGUGUGAGAGUGGAAAGUUCACACUGUGACGGUAACUUACCAGAAAGGGACGGCUAACUACGUGCCAGCAGCCGCGGUAAUACGUAGGUCCCGAGCGUUAUCCGGAUUUAUUGGGCGUAAAGCGAGCGCAGGCGGUUAGAUAAGUCUGAAGUUAAAGGCUGUGGCUUAACCAUAGUACGCUUUGGAAACUGUUUAACUUGAGUGCAGAAGGGGAGAGUGGAAUUCCAUGUGUAGCGGUGAAAUGCGUAGAUAUAUGGAGGAACACCGGUGGCGAAAGCGGCUCUCUGGUCUGUAACUGACGCUGAGGCUCGAAAGCGUGGGGAGCAAACAGG